CAGGACGAACGCUGGCGGCUGCCUAAUACAUGCAAGUCGAACGCUUCUUUUUCCACCGGAGCUUGCUCCACCGGAAAAAGAGGAGUGGCGAACGGGUGAGUAACACGUGGGUAACCUGCCCAUCAGAAGGGGAUAACACUUGGAAACAGGUGCUAAUACCGUAUAACAAUCAAAACCGCAUGGUUUUGAUUUGAAAGGCGCUUUCGGGUGUCGCUGAUGGAUGGACCCGCGGUGCAUUAGCUAGUUGGUGAGGUAACGGCUCACCAAGGCCACGAUGCAUAGCCGACCUGAGAGGGUGAUCGGCCACAUUGGGACUGAGACACGGCCCAAACUCCUACGGGAGGCAGCAGUAGGGAAUCUUCGGCAAUGGACGAAAGUCUGACCGAGCAACGCCGCGUGAGUGAAGAAGGUUUUCGGAUCGUAAAACUCUGUUGUUAGAGAAGAACAAGGAUGAGAGUAACUGUUCAUCCCUUGACGGUAUCUAACCAGAAAGCCACGGCUAACUACGUGCCAGCAGCCGCGGUAAUACGUAGGUGGCAAGCGUUGUCCGGAUUUAUUGGGCGUAAAGCGAGCGCAGGCGGUUUCUUAAGUCUGAUGUGAAAGCCCCCGGCUCAACCGGGGAGGGUCAUUGGAAACUGGGAGACUUGAGUGCAGAAGAGGAGAGUGGAAUUCCAUGUGUAGCGGUGAAAUGCGUAGAUAUAUGGAGGAACACCAGUGGCGAAGGCGGCUC
rnacentral:rRNA from 1 species